rnacentral:rRNA from 1 species
CUGGAAUAAUACACCGAAAGGGGUACUAAUACCGGAUAUUCUUGCUUUAUAUAAGUUUUGCAAGCAAAGGUGGCCUCUGACAUAAGCUACUGCAUAAAGAGGGGUCUGCGUACCAUUAGCUAGUAGGUGGGGUAAUGGCCUACCUAGGCUACGAUGGUUAGCGGGUCUGAGAGGAUGAUCCGCCACACUGGCACUGGAACACGGGCCAGACUCCUACGGGAGGCAGCAGUGAGGAAUAUUGCGCAAUGGGGGCAACCCUGACGCAGCGACGCCGCGUGAGUGAGGAAGGCCUUCGGGUCGUAAAGCUCUGUCAAAGGGAAAGAAAUGUAUAAUGGCUAAUACCUGUUAUAUUUGACGGUACCCUUAAAGGAAGCACCGGCUAACUCCGUGCCAGCAGCCGCGGUAAUACGGAGGGUGCAAGCGUUGUUCGGAAUUACUGGGCGUAAAGGGCGCGUAGGCGGUUUGAUAAGUCAGAUGUGAAAGCCCACGGCUUAACUGUGGAAGUGCAUUUGAUACUGUCAGACUUGAGUACCAGAGGGGAAAGUGGAAUUCCCGGUGUAGAGGUGAAAUUCGUAGAUAUCGGGAGGAAUACUGGUGGCGAAGGCGACUUUCUGGCUGGAUACUGACGCUGA